CACUCCCUCUAAAAACCCACUCCUUAAACCCCACGAAUUCUCCAUUUGCGAAAACUUCCCCUCGAUGGCUCGCUUAAUUCGGCCAGCAGCAAGAACACUUCUUUCUUCUUCUGCUUCAUAACUUCUCCACCAAUCAAGAAAUGCCAUCACAUCUUCCUUUCUCUUCUAAUCCUCCAUACCUUACUCAACUGACAACAAAAUUACCAUACAUAUCGUAUUUCGAAGCUAACAUUCUCAGAAUCUUCAGUAAGGAAAUCAAUUACCAGUCUGAAUAUGCCCCUCCUCAUCAGCCAGAGACGAGGUUUCAUUCAUUUACGGUGGAAGAUCGAUCAGGAGAGCAGUGGAUGAUAAUGAAGAUAUUAAACUUGAAGCUUCAAUGUUUGAUGGAUAUGUAACUGUUCCAAAACUUGGAGAUGUUGCCUCUGAUGAAGAUUUGCGUCUUCACAUCAGUGUGAUUGUUGAUAUUUCCAGAGGGGAUGGUGGUGAAAAGUUGGAGUUUUUGUGCUCAGCGUGGCCUGAUCAUUUGGAGAUUCAGAAAGUUUACUUGCUUGGGCAUAGAAGAUGUUGGGUAGGCCUUUUAUGGGACCUGAUUUCAGGUAUGAUAUUUUUUUUCCUGAUGAUUGUGGUGCUUGUGUUUGUUUUACAAUCAGGGUUUGGCUAGCUGGCUUGAGUUUGGAUUAAAUGCUUUGUUUUUUCUGGAAGUUGAAGAGAGAGCUUCAGAAGACUCUUCGUGAGUACUUGGAGGCAAGGGGGGGUAAAUGAUGAGCUUUCUUUCUUCUUGCAUGAAUAUAUGCUGAAUAAGCAUAGGAUUGAACUUAUUCAGUGGUUUGGAAAGGUCAAAUCUUUUGUAGAAAAACAGAGGGUUGUUUUUCAUGGUGCUCUUUAUGAGACAGGUUUGUUCAUUUUUUUGAAAAACUCAGGAGACUGUUAUUCAGUAUGCAGUAGCAUGAAAAUGAAAUUCUAUUCUAGGAUUCCUGACCAAUGACUCUUUAAGGUGUUCUGAUAGGUAAGCUUCUUAUGAUAGAGUCAUACUGCUGAGAGUCAUACUGCUGAAAAGCUGCAGGAAAUACUUUCCUUCUUAUUACAUAGCCACUAUGCAUCUCCUUCUCUCUCUUUCUUGCCAGUAGAAGUGUGGAAACAUGAACUUCUGAACUCUACUUGCAGAAAGUGUCUACAUAACAGAGGACAUUAUGGGCAGUGUGAUACUUAGGUUAUGGAGUCUUUAUUGUUGGACAUGGAAAUGGGGAAAUAACUUCUGUAAUAACCAUAACUGAGGGUAGCUCAAACCCAACAAAUGAGAAUUUUGAUUUUUCGCUGUGAGCUGGUGAGCUUGGAAUCAAGAACUGCUUGAUUUUUUUCACCUUUUCAAAUUAGCAUGUUUAAUGACUGGCUGACCAGCAUUAUUAUAGAGAUUCAUUACAGAGCACCAUCACCUUGGAGGGUCUCGUGGUGUAAAAUUUCCCACGCAUUAUGGACUCAACUUAUGGUUUUUUGACUGAACUCAAAAGGCUUGAAAAUUGUUGUUAACGGUGGUAAUCAAAGAUUCAGAGAUGAAGGAAAUAAAACUCAGGAAAUCAAAGGAUUCCUUAGGGAGGGUUCAUUGCAAUAUUCAUGCCAUUAUGAUGACUUGGCGAGACAAGUUGAAAGAUGGAACUAUUAGAGAGCAGAGAUAAGUAGAUGGGAACUAGAGAUAACAAUUUAAUAGCUGUAGUCUUGGUUCUUUUUAGGACCUAAACUAUGAUUUCCUUGCAUCAUUUUUCUUCAUCUUAGAUGCAUGUUGAGCAAAAGGUUUACAGUUUGGUGCUAACCAAUGUUCUUUCACAUCUUAUGGUUAGAAUCAAUGACACUCUCUUCAUUUCUGAACAACCGUAUUGGACUUGAGUUACAGCGACGCCAAUCGCCAAUGUUUCAAUUGCUUGGCCGAACAAUGUGCUUGACUCAAUUCCCAGUUGACACGCUUCCUUUUAUCUGCUCAUUUUGUAUUUUUUCCUCUAAUCCUUUACUUUUUGCUUCCAGUCCUGAUAUACUUUCAAGGAACAGUCCCUCUACAACCUUUGAAGUGCCCACAAGAGGGACACAACUGAGAUUUGGUUUUCAAUAAAAAUGUUUGAUUUUUGUAGCAAGACACGAGGCCACGAUGAAUAUGGAUGUUGGGCUUGUUAAGCCUAACAUAGUGAUGGGAUAAAAGCUGUAUUCAAAUUUGUGUUGCUCUUGGCACAUUGUGGUGAAUUAUUGUACUUGAACAUGCUCAAACAUUUUUUUAUUUUUAUUAUCAAGUUGGUGAUUAGGUGACAAGUGAAAUUGAAUACUGACAAGUGAAAUUGAAGACUGAUAUUGCUUUUGUCAAA